GCACUCCAGCCUGGGCAACAGAGUGAGACUCUGUCUCAAAAAAUAAAAAUAAAAAUAAAAAAAAGAAAAAUCUUCACUUGGCAACCAUCGUAGUAAUAAUUGAUUUAGGUUGAAACUGGGUGAAGAAACUUUGAUAUGGAACAGGAUAUUUUUAUAGUCUCAGAACAUCUCCCCACGAAAUAUUUAUUCAUUACUCAUCACUUAACAAGUAUUAAAUACUGUUAACUUUCCAGUGGAGAAACCUGGCAGACAUCAUCUUAGCCAAGUGGUAAACAUUAACAUCAGCAGUAAUGGGACAAGUUGACAUUGUGUGACUCCUAAUAUGGUACACUGAGAAGAACAUCGCAUCGUUUCUGUGGUAUUCCUACCAAAGAUGCAUAAAUCAUGAGGAAACAGCAGACAAAUCCAAACUGAAGACAACCUACAAAGUCAUUGACCUGUAUUUUUCAAAAAUCAUGGCCAGAGAAGGGAAGCCUGAAGAAUUGUUCUAGGAUAAAUUAGACUGAAGAGACUCCUUGGAGGCGACUGAAUUGGAUCCUGGGCCUGUAAAGUGCUCCCCGUUGGUCAAGCCCAAUCAGAAGCUGGAGAGUAGGAAGUCCAUUUCCUGCAGCUUAUAAAGGUUGGCUUCCAGGAACACAGAACAAGAUGGAGAAGAAUAAAUAAUGGAUCUGGAGGAGAAAACAGAGAACACUGGAGUAGUAUUAAAUCUGGAAGAAAAAUUAUUGGAUUGUCUAAUAAAUUUUACAAAAAAUGUAGUUAUUUGAUAACAAAAGUAAACCAUAUAAUAAACUUUUAAAUUUUU